GUAUUAACUUGCAACUCAGUCUGAUGAGCGCCUAUACAUAUGUAAGGUUUGUGCAAUCAAAGCUCCUGGUUUUGGGGAAAAUAGAAGAGCAAACUUAGAUGAUCUUGCCAUUCUUACUGGGGGAGAGGUUAUCACUGAAGACCGUGGUUUAACCCUUGACAAAGUUCAAUUUGAAAUGCUUGGAACUGCAAAAAAGGUUUAUGU